AUUCCUUUACUUUACACAAUUGUUGGGUUAAGUUACGCAAAUUUCUGCGAUUGUUAACUUUUUAAAUAUUCAAAUAAUAAAUAUAUUUGAAGGAAUCGGACGUUCUACUGUAUCGUCGCACCUCAUAUUAGAUGUUUUUUCCAUCAUUGCAGUAAUGCUCACGGUAGAGUGUUUGAUUUACGCAAUAAAUUUCACAAGUGACUCAAUUGGAAGAUCCUUAAAAUUGUGGGGUACAUCCCGUCGCUUACGAUUUGCGGAGACGGAGAGUUUUCACAACAAAAAACCUACGUCAUUAUUUACCCAACAUGAGUUUUCCUAUUCAUGCGCAUAUCAAUGAAAUCUAUAUUAUCGUAAAGUCAAUUUCGUACAGCUGUCGUUUUAAUCUUUAGUUUAGAAAAAAGUAGCUAACUCUCUAGCAAGGAAAAUAAAUAUUGAGGUUUAUAACAUGAUUCAACCACUACAUUCGAAAAGCAAAUGAAAAAUUUACGACGGAAGCUAUCGCUCUUUUUUCAAUAAACAAACCCUUUCCUGAAUUGUUGACAAAGUUUAUUAUUAAUUACUAAUAAACAACUAUGAGAAAAGAUGGGGAAACUGCAAAUUAUGCCUAAUGACUGCCGAAUAUCAUGAUAUUACUUCCAUCUUUCCAUUCUGCCGUCUUCUUUUAAGUCUUUUACCUACCGAAUAAUACAUGAUCAAAAUCUUACUAAAAAUAAUGUCGU